rfam:Loxodonta africana unplaced genomic scaffold scaffold_60, whole genome shotgun sequence.
GUACUUACCUCGCAGAGAUGAUACUGUGCUCACGAAGGUGGCUUUCCUAGGGCGAGGCUUAUUCAUUGCAUUCUGGAUUCCGGAUGUGCUGACCCCUGUGAUUUCCCCAGAUAUGGGAGACUUGACUGCACAAUUUGCUUGCAGAGUGGACUGCAUUCGUGCUUUUUCCUG